rnacentral:lncRNA from 1 species
AUGAAAAACGUCCAGAUCAUGUUCAUACUGAAUUCUAACAAGUCAUUAGGCGAUCUGUUCCACGGAGUAUGGCUGGGGUCCGGCUGGCGGCCAGGCUCCCUGCAGGGCCGAGGGCCCAGGGCCAGGACCGGGGUGUCGUGUGCGGAGCCCCCGCCGUGCGGAGCCCCAGGGGUGGGCGGCCCGAGUGCAGAUGUCCUGACACCUCGACCUUCAGACAGAGGAGACACACAGUCAGGUAGGAGACACCUAAACAAUUUAACGGAGAGCAGACAAGUUCGGAGAGACUCUGGAUCAGGUCUGGAGCUCCGGGAGUCGUCGAGCACCUUAGAUGGAUUAUGGAAAGGAGGAGAGUUUGGAGCAAUAAGUUACUGGGAAAGGAGUAAGACCAGUUGCAGAGAAGGAAUGGGCUUAAUGAUGAGAGGUCUGUGCUGCAUUAUUUUUCCUCCAGCUGGCUGA